GGGAAUGUAGCUCAGAAGUAGAGCACUUGCUUAGCAUGCAGAAGACCCUGGGUUCAAUCUCCAGCACCACUA
rnacentral:tRNA from 1 species